rnacentral:rRNA from 1 species
AUUGAACGCUGGCGGCAGGCCUAACACAUGCAAGUCGAACGGUAACAGGAAACAGCUUGCUGUUUCGCUGACGAGUGGCGGACGGGUGAGUAAUGUCUGGGAAACUGCCUGAUGGAGGGGGAUAACUGCUGGAAACGGUAGCUAAUACCGCAUAACGUCGCAAGACCAAAGAGGGGGACCCUCGGGCCUCUUGCCAUCGGAUGUGCCCAGAUGGGAUUAGCUUGUUGGUGGGGUAACGGCUCACCAAGGCGACGAUCCCUAGCUGGUGUGAGAGGAUGACGAGCGACGCUGGAAGUGAGGCACGGGCCAGACUACUAGGGGAGGCAGCAGGGGGGAAUAGUGCACAAUGGGGGGAAGGCUGAUGGAGCGGUGCCGGGUGUAGGAAGAAGGCGUUGGGGUUGGAAAGUAGUUUGAGCGGGGGGGAGGGGAGUAAAGUGAAUGGCUUGGCUCAUUGAGGUGGCCCGCAGAAGAGGGAGGGGCUAACUAGGUG